UCCUCCUCUGAUGGGGAGGAAGGAGAGUUGGUUAGUGAGCACAGCUAUAUAGUCUGACACACACUGACUUACUGGUAGAAAGCAAUGGGCUCCGCAUUUGCUCUCACUUGAGUGUGGUGGAACCUGCAUGUAUACCAAAAGAUUGCAAGAAAAUUAAGACAAAUUCUAAAGGAGUCACCUGAAGUCUCCCUCCUUCUUUUCCUGCUGGAAGAUGGGACUCAUGAUGACUUUGUUGAUGAGUAUGCUCAGAGCAAAGAACAAGUAGACACCCAACACCCCAUACCAACCCAGUCUGCAUGGACGCAGUUGAUGAAGUACUAUAUACGUACUGAAAUAACAAUAAACCAGGAGCAGUAAGCGGUGAGAAACGGUUGUAUUAUGAUCUUGGGUAACAGUGACUGAUCUGGUUACAGAACCUGUCCACAUCCUGAGUGAUUCGCUGAUCCCUGCAAGAUAAAAAGAAUUCAGCGAAUUCAGCAAACACAUCAC